CUACGGGUUGCAGCAGUAGGGAAUCUUCCACAAUGGGCGAAAGCCUGAUGGAGCAAUACCGCGUGACCGAUGACGGCCGAAAGGUUGUAAAGGUCUUUUCUGAGGGAAUAAUUUUGAAGGUACCUUAGGAAUAAGCACCGGCUAACUCCGUGCCAGCAGCCGCGGUAAUACGGAGGGUGCAAGCGUUACCCGGAAUCAUUGGGCGUAAAGCGUCCGCAGGCGGUUAAUUAAGUUGGUUAUUAAAUCUUAUAGCCCAACUAUAAGGCUGUAACUAAAACUGGUUAACUAGAGUCAUUCAAAAGUGUGCGGAAUUCUGUGUGUAGGGGUAAAAUCCGUAGAUACACAGAGGAACACCAAAAGCGAAGGCAGCACGCUGGGAAUGUACUGACGCUCAUGGACGAAAGCGUAGGUAGCGAACGGGAUUAGAUACCCGUGUAGUC
rnacentral:rRNA from 1 species